UACGUAGGGGGGCGAGCGUUGUCCGGAUUUAUUGGGCGUAAAGAGCUCGUAGGCGGCUCUUCGCGUCGGAUGAUGAAAGGCUCAAAGCUCAACUUUGAGAGGCCAUUCGAUACGGAAGAGCUAGAGGCAGGUGAGGGAGAGCGGAAUUCCUGGAUGUGAGCGGUGAAAUGCGCAGACUAUCAGGAGGAACACCGAUGGCGAAGGCAGCUCUCUGGGCCUGUUCUGACGCUGAGGAGCGAAAGCUGGGGGAGCGAACAGG
rnacentral:rRNA from 1 species